AUUGAACGCUAGCGGGAUGCCUUACACAUGCAAGUCGAACGGAGUAGCGAACGGGUGAGGAAUAUAUCGGAACGUGCCCCGGAGCGGGGGAUAACUACGAGAAAGCGUAGCUAAUACCGCAUACUAUUGGAGCGGCCGAUAUCGGAUUAGCUAGUUGGUGGGGUAACGGCUCACCAAGGCGACGAUCCGUAGCUGGUUUGGGAGGAAGACCAGCCACACUGGGACUGAGACACGGCCCAGACUCCUACGGGAGGCAGCAGUGGGGAAUAUUGGACAAUGGGGGAAACCCGGAUGCAGCCAUCCCGCGUGUGCGAUGAAGGCCUUCGGGUUGUAAAGUACUUUUGGCAGGAAAGCGGUACCUGCAGAAGAAGCACCGGCUAACUACGUGCCAGCAGCCGCGGUAAUAC
rnacentral:rRNA from 1 species